UCCACGUUACAAAAGAGACAUUGGUACAAGACUCGCUUUAAGCGGACUGGCCGUGGCCUACCACCAGAGCGGCAUCUUCCAGGGCCCACUGCCCACAGGCUCCCACGCAUCUGCUGGCGGUCUUAUUGUGGACUAUGGUAACACUUGGAGGCUUCAUGUGGUCAUCAAUGACGGGUUUGAGGUCCAGUGUGCUCACUUGAGGUGGGUCGCUGACCCUAUAGUUGCCCACACCAACACCACGGUCACACUGAAGCCAAAUGUUUGCCACGCAGGGGAGAAAAUCACUGGUCUCCGCUACGCCUGGAGUGAGUCCCCCUGCGCUCUUCACAGCUGUGCAAUCUACGAGACAUCCCAUAACUUACCAGGACCACCAUUUAUAUCUUAUGCUGACUUUGAUCCAAAAGGAGAACCAUAUUUUACUUUUGAUCGUCAAACAC
rnacentral:sRNA from 1 species